CAGCAGCCGCGGUAAUACCGGCGGCCCGAGUGGCGGCCACUAUUAUUGGGCUUAAAGCGUCCGUAGCCGGGUUGGUUAGUCUCCCGGGAAAUCUGGCCGCUUAACGGUCAGAAUUCCGGGAGAUACUGCCAGCCUAGGGACCGGGAGAGGCCGAGGGUAUUCCCGGAGUAGGGGUGAAAUCCUAUAAUCCCGGGAGGACCACCUGUGGCGAAGGCGCUCGGCUGGAACGGGUCCGACGGUGAGGGACGAAGGCCAGGGGAGCAAACCGGAUUAGAUACCCGGGUAGUCCUAGCUGUAAACGAUGCGGACUUUGUGUCGGACAAGCUAUGAGCUUGUCCGGUGCCGGAGGGAAACCGUUAAGUCCGCCGCCUGGGGAGUACGGCCGCAAGGCUGAAACUUAAAGGAAUUGGCGGG
rnacentral:rRNA from 1 species